AACGAACGCUGGCGGCAUGCCUAACACAUGCAAGUCGAACGAGACCUUCGGGUCUAGUGGCGCACGGGUGCGUAACGCGUGGGAACCUGCCCUUAGGUUCGGAAUAACUCCCCGAAAGGGGUGCUAAUACCGGAUAAUGUCUUCGGACCAAAGAUUUAUCGCCUUUGGAUGGGCCCGCGUUGGAUUAGCUAGUUGGUAGGGUAAAAGCCUACCAAGGCGACGAUCCAUAGCUGGUCUGAGAGGAUGAUCAGCCACACUGGGACUGAGACACGGCCCAGACUCCUACGGGAGGAGGCAUUGGGGAAAAUUGGACAAGGGGCGAAAGCCUGACCAACCAAUGCGGCGUGAGGAAUGAAGGCCUUAGGUUUGUAAAGCUCUUUUACCCGGAAUGUUAAUGACAGUACCGGAGAAUAAGCUCCGGCUAACUCCGUG
rnacentral:rRNA from 1 species